rnacentral:lncRNA from 1 species
CAUAGGAUAAUUAUAAUUUUUAUUUCAAUAAAGUCAUGUAUUCAAUUUAUUUCGAAAAUAAAAUUGUUACACAUGCCUUUUUGAUUGACGGUCUUUAUCAUUUGCAUAUGAAUGUGAGUGUAAAUAUUAAUGAGCAAAUUAUGAAUGCCAUAGCGUCUAAGAGACUUAGAGACAGGAUUAGCUAAAAGUAUUUAUGGCACCUUAGGUUAGGCC